GAGGCCUGGCUGUGAAUGGUUCCCCAUCAGCUCUGCAGAGAGGGGACAGGCCGAGCACACCGGGACUCUGCAGAGGAGGGCUGUGCACCGGACGCAAUGAUGUGCCGACCGCCUGCCUUGUGUGCAGAAUCUGCUCCAGGGCAGGUGAAGAGCAGCGUUACGCGGCUGGCUUGCUGCAGGUGACAGAUGGUCACUCCGGUGUUCCCAUGGGUUCUUGGAGUAUGCCUGCUGGUCUGCUGUGCCGUUUCUGGCAGAACUGCAGCUUUACUGGAAAAUCACCAGCCCGGGAAACAUGCUGGCACCUAAGAUAGACAAGGCAUGCCUCUUCCCGGCAGGAAGCUCCUGGCCUAGCAAGCAGAUGGGGCAGGUGCUCACCCAGAGGCACAUCGCAGUUCCCGGCCGAGCCUGCAGGGCGGGGACAUGGGGACAGGUCCAGCCUGGAAACAGAGUGUCCCCCGGUUCCGGACCGAAGGACUGAUGGGCAGAGAGACCACCUUUAAAUCACGUGUCUACAGCCCCUUAUCUAACAGUUACAGCCAGACCUCAUCCCUGUGUUAAUGUUUUCCUGCUCAGUAAGUUUCUCCUUCUGUCAGUUUGCUCAUUUCUUUGGUUUAACGCCUAUCUGUCCUUUGAAUAAAGGCUCCAUAAGGUAGAA